rnacentral:rRNA from 1 species
CAUCAGCUUGUUGGUGAGGUAACGGCUCACCAAGGCGACGACGGAUAGCUGGUCUGAGAGGAUGACCAGUCACACUGGGACUGAGACACUGCCCAGACUCCUGCGGGAGGCUGCAGUCGAGAAUCUUCCGCAAUGGGCGCAAGCCUGACGGAGCGAUGCUGCGUGCCGGACGAAGGCCUUCGGGUCGUAAACGGCUGUCACUCGGGACGAAUUUUGACGGUACCGAGAGAGGAAGCCACGGCUAACUACGUGCCAGCAGCCGCGGUAAUACGUAGGUGGCGAGCGUUAUUCGGAAUUAUUGGGCCUAGAGGGUUCGUAGGGGGUAAUGUAAGUCCGGUGUGAAAUCUCGAGGCUCAACCUCGAAACUGCAUUGGAAACUGCAUUACUUGAGUGUCAGAGAGGAAAGCGGAAUUCCUGGUGUAGCGGUGGAAUGCGUAGAUAUCAGGAAGAACACCGACGGCGAAGGCAGCUUUCUGGCUGGCAACUGACCCUGAUGAACGAAAGCUAGGGUAGCGAACAGGAUUAGAUACCCUGGUAGUCCUAGCUGUAAACGUUGUGCACUGGAUGUGGGCGGAUUUGGUCCCGUCUGUGUCCGAGCGAAGGCGUUAAGUGCACCGCCUGGGGACUACGGCCGCAAGGCUAAAACUCAAAGGAAUUGACGGGGGCCCGCACAAGCGGUGGAGCAUGUGGCUCAAUUCGAGGCAACGCGAAGAACCUUACCUGGGCUUGACAUAUACCUGACCGCCGGUGAGAGCCGGUUUCUCUUUGAGCAGGUAUACAGGUGCUGCAUGGCUGUCGACAGCUCGUGCUGUGAAGUGUUCGGUUAAGUCCGGCAACGAGCGCAACCCACGCUGUUAGUUACCAUCAGGUAAUGCUGGGGACUCUAACAGGACUGCCCGUGCUCAGCGGGAGGAAGGCGUGGACGACGUCAAGUCCGCAUGGCCCUUACGCCCAGGGCUGCACACGUGCUACAAUGGCCGGUACAGAGGGU